AUUGAAUAUUUAGCCAAUUAUGAAGCUAAAUUAGAACUAAUUGCACUUAUUUGCGCGAAUUGAUGCAAUUUCGGGAUUAUUUCUUCGCAGCAGGUCUUCGAGCCUCGUUGAGCUGAACUUGUACUCUUAGAAGUUGGUUUGGAAGGUAUUCUAACCUGAGCGGGAGUUCGACUGACCUUUGGGUCAUCCUUGGUUGGCUUUGGGAAGCCUUUAGAGACUUAAUUGAAGCAGCAUUGGGGCUUCGUUGAGCCGUUUGUGGGACUUCUUGUGGAUAGUUGGAGCCUCAUACUAGAGCCUGUUACAGGAGAGGCUAGGGAUCGUGGCAAGGGAG